GGCCUGGUAGCCAAGAUAGCAAGGCAUUCCUCUGCAAAAGGAAUAUACGGCGGCGCACAUCCGCCCCAGGCCU
rfam:Parcubacteria bacterium GW2011_GWC1_40_11 TT74_C0014, whole genome shotgun sequence.